GGGAGGGGACUACACAAGGGUGUGGACACCAGGAAGCAAGGAUCACUGGGGCUCAUCUUGGAGGCUGAUGACCCUCAGGGAACACAAGCUGUUUUCAUUGAGAAAGAGCUUCUAUGUUCACUGUAAGAAUAAGUCCUGUGGUCAUUACUGCAGAGACCACGAGUCCUUGGGAAGCGUUUCCCGGAUCCUCCCAAUUGGCCAAGAAGCAUGAUUGAGUGCUGUCUUCACUGUGUCUCCAGGACCUGUUGAGGAUCCAGCUCACUGUAGGCUUUAUUUUAAAACGUCUGUUGAGCUGAAUGGCCCAGGAUUACUUUACAUA